CACACACUGGACAAAAACCUCAUGAAUGUGAUGCUUGUAAGAAGAAAUUUUCAUGCUUGAGCAACUUAACUAUGCAUAAACGAACACAUACUGGAGAGAAACCUUAUGAAUGUGAUGUUUGCAACAAAAAAUUUUCGCAGUUAGGUCACUUUACUGAACAUAAGAGAACACACACUGGAGAGAAACCUUAUGAAUGCGAUGUUUGCAAGAAGAGAUUUUUAUGCGCGGGCAACUUAACCAAGCAUAAAAGAACACAUACUGGAGUCAAACCUUAUGGAUGCAAUAUUUGUAAGAAGAGAUUUUCACAAUCAAGCCACUUAGCUACUCAAAAGGGAACACAUACUGGAGACACACCUUUUGAAUGUCACGUUUGCAACAAGGGAUUUUCAGAAUCACAUAAUUUAACACGACAUAAAAUAUCAGCACACAAGGUAAAGCAGUGUUUUGAGUGCGCUAAAUGUAAGAAAACAUUCACAGAACAUAAAAGUCUCAAACGUCACUGGAGAGUACAUUCAAGAGAUGGCUUAUUAUUCUGCAACAGUUGUGGCAGGGAAAUUAUUCAAGAACAAGGACAUGUUGGUGAGAUACUGAGUGGUGAUUAUCUUGUGUGUGACAAGUGCGACAAACAAUUCCCUGAUAUUGAAAGUUUAUAUCAGCACAAAGCCAAAGACCAUGGUACGUCCUACCAAUGUGAUGUCUGUAAGGAAUUAGACGCAAAAGAAGCAACUGGCAUUGGUUAUAUCUGUUGUGUCUGCGAUGCCGAGUUUGAAAUCCCC